rnacentral:rRNA from 1 species
CUGAUGUUAGCGGCGGACGGGUGAGUAACACGUGGGUAACCUGCCUGUAAGACUGGGAUAACUCCGGGAAACCGGGGCUAAUACCGGAUGGUUGUCUGAACCGCAUGGUUCAGACAUAAAAGGUGGCUUCGGCUACCACUUACAGAUGGACCCGCGGCGCAUUAGCUAGUUGGUGAGGUAACGGCUCACCAAGGCGACGAUGCGUAGCCGACCUGAGAGGGUGAUCGGCCACACUGGGACUGAGACACGGCCCAGACUCCUACGGGAGGCAGCAGUAGGGAAUCUUCCGCAAUGGACGAAAGUCUGACGGAGCAACGCCGCGUGAGUGAUGAAGGUUUUCGGAUCGUAAAGCUCUGUUGUUAGGGAAGAACAAGUGCCGUUCAAAUAGGGCGGCACCUUGACGGUACCUAACCAGAAAGCCACGGCUAACUACGUGCCAGCAGCCGCGGUAAUACGUAGGUGGCAAGCGUUGUCCGGAAUUAUUGGGCGUAAAGGGCUCGCAGGCGGUUUCUUAAGUCUGAUGUGAAAGCCCCCGGCUCAACCGGGGAGGGUCAUUGGAAACUGGGGAACUUGAGUGCAGAAGAGGAGAGUGGAAUUCCACGUGUAGCGGUGAAAUGCGUAGAGAUGUGGAGGAACACCAGUGGCGAAGGCGACUCUCUGGUCUGUAACUGACGCUGAGGAGCGAAAGCGUGGGGAGCGAACAGGAUUAGAUACCCUGGUAGUCCACGCCGUAAACGAUGAGUGCUAAGUGUUAGGGGGUUUCCGCCCCUUAGUGCUGCAGCUAACGCAUUAAGCACUCCGCCUGGGGAGUACGGUCGCAAGACUGAAACUCAAAGGAAUUGACGGGGGCCCGCACAAGCGGUGGAGCAUGUGGUUUAAUUCGAAGCAACGCGAAGAACCUUACCAGGUCUUGACAUCCUCUGACAAUCCUAGAGAUAGGACGUCCCCUUCGGGGGCAGAGUGACAGGUGGUGCAUGGUUGUCGUCAGCUCGUGUCGUGAGAUGUUGGGUUAAGUCCCGCAACGAGCGCAACCCUUGAUCUUAGUUGCCAGCAUUCAGUUGGGCACUCUAAGGUGACUGCCGGUGACAAACCGGAGGAAAGGUGGGGAUGACGUCAAUCAUCAUGCCCCUUAUGACCUGGGCUACCACGUGCUACAAUGGACAGAACAAAGGGCACCGAAACCGCGAGGUUAACCCAUUCCACAAAUCUGUUCUCAGUUCGGAUCCAAUCUGCAACUCCAUGCGGGAACC